rnacentral:tRNA from 1 species
CCCUAUGGCUCAGUUGGUAGAGCAUGGUGUUUGCAACGCCAGCAUGGUGUGUGCAACGCCAGGGUUGUGGGUUCGAUUCCCACAGGGG